rnacentral:sRNA from 1 species
CUUGGUCAUUUAGAGGAAGUAAAAGUCGUAACAAGGUUUCCGUAGGUGAACCUGCGGAAGGAUCAUUACUAGAGCAAAGGAUAGACAGCGCCCGCGGAGCUUGCUCCCUGGGGCUACCCUACUUCGGUAGGGUUUAGAGUCGUCGGGCCUCUCGAAGAAGCUCGGUCCUGAACUCCACCCUUGAAUAAAAUUACCUUUGUUGCUUUGGCGGGCCGCCUCGAGCCAGCGGCUUCGGCUGUUGCGUGCCCGCCAGAGGACCACAACUCUUGUUUUUAGUGAUGUCUGAGUACUAUUUAAUAGUUAAAACUUUCAACAACGGAUCUCUUGGUUCUGGCAUCGAUGAAGAACGCAGCGAAAUGCGAUAAGUAAUGUGAAUUGCAGAAUUCAGUGAAUCAUCGAAUCUUUGAACGCACAUUGCGCCCUCUGGUAUUCCGGGGGGCAUGCCUGUUCGAGCGUCAUUAUAACCACUCAAGCUCUCGCUUGGUAUUGGGGUUCGCGGUCUCGCGGCCCCUAAAGUCAGUGGCGGUGCCUGUCGGCUCUACGCGUAGUAAUACUCCUCGCGAUUGAGUCCGGUAGGUUUACUUGCCAGCAACCCCUAAUUUUUACAGGUUGACCUCGGAUCAGGUAGGGAUACCCGCUGAACUUAAGCAUAUCAAUAAGCGGAGGAAAAGAAACCAACAGGGAUUACCUCAGUAACGGCGAGUGAAGCGGUAACAGCUCAAAUUUGAAAGCUGGCUCUUUUAGGGUCCGCGUUGUAAUUUGUAGAAGAUGCUUCGGGUGUAGCUCCGGUCUAAGUUCCUUGGAACAGGACGUCAUAGAGGGUGAGAAUCCCGUAUGUGACUGGGUGCUUUCGCUCAUGUGAAGCUCUUUCGACGAGUCGAGUUGUUUGGGAAU